rnacentral:rRNA from 1 species
UUACGGUCAAAUCACGCUGAAACACCGGUUCUCGUUCGAUCACCGAAGUUAAGCAUCGUAGAGCCAGGUCAGUACUUAGAUGGGGGACAACUUGGGAACACCUGGUACUGUAAG